rnacentral:lncRNA from 1 species
GCCUGCAGCUUGCAAAAGUACCUGGUUAUUUUUAUUCCUUUGAUACUUGAUCUACUAUCAAAAUAACUGAUUUUUUUUCUCUUUAACUCCUUAGGAAUCCCCAAAAAACCUGCCACAGGUGAGGCACUGCCAAAAGCCCCCUCAGUUGCCCAUGCACAGGAGGGGUCGGGUCACCGCUUGCGCAGCCCUACAACUGCAGCUAUGUGUGGUGCAGGGUUUCUCCUGAAGACGUGAGGGUUUUGUCCUGCCCUGCGUGGGUUUUGCAAUCCAGAUACUCAGGUAACUCAGUGCCUGAGUGGAUUGUUUGAGUCCAGGCUGACUUGGGAGACAUGGAAGCUAAUGUCCACCUGCCAGCUGUACGUGGGGGUCCAUGCCCUUCAAGGCAGUAACAUCUCAGGUCCAGAUGGGCACCCAGCAGUGGCAUCCUGGCAGAUGACUUGAGAUCUCUAUCAGAUGAUAGUGGAGGCCUCCAGAGCCUUUUCCUACACAAGGAACAUCUUUGCUGACGACGUAUCUCGGGCUCUCACUUGUGCUUGUCCUGGCCAUCCUUGUACACGAAGUGUCUGCAUGUGUUCAGCUGGAAGAUGAUGGGCAAGACAUGACCAUAAGAGGGGUUUUAUAACCAGCUGGUUAACAAGUGCUCCUUCCCAGCAUGGCUGCUUCCAGAAAUCUCCAGGUUUCGACCUGCUGGCUAUUUCAAGUAAGUCUCAAUUUAUAUAUUUUCUUUUCAUAAGCUCUCCAUGGCCAAGCUGUGACAGCUGAGGGAAACCUGCUCAGUCUUUCAGUAUUAAGAUCUCAAUUAUCAGAGGACUGGCUUCUUCCACAGGAUUGUGUGUGUGUGUGUGUUGGGACUCCUUAAAGUCUUUUCAGAGCUGAAGCAUAAGCGGGGACUCAGCUUGGUGUGGUAUUGGGGGCUCUGAAAAAAAAUGCCAGGAGGGAAAGUCCAACCUCGAUUUUUGUCAUUUAAUGCCAC